CCAGGGCGCCAAACAGGCUAGGACCGCCACUGGUAGAACCCAUGGGGGAGUUCCAGAAUGAAUACAGGUGGAGAGGGGGCAGACAGAGUGGGGAGAAGCAGGCAGAGGCUGUUGAUACUAAAGAGGCACUGGCAGGUUGAUGACUUCCAGAGAUGGACCACAGAGAGAAGGUGUGAGAGGAGAGGAAUCCACCAGGAAACCCCGCCUCCAGGUGGAGACCACAAACUGAGCCUGCCCAGCAACUCCACCUGAGGAAAGACCUAAAUAAGUAGAGCAUAGACACAGCUAUCCAAGAAACCAGACCCCCCAAAACCAUGACAGCAAGACCUCACUAGCCCUCGCUAAAGCAUUUGUUUCCAAGCAAUGACAGGCGGGGUACGCGAGCUGCUGUGGAGUUGAUGCGAACCAAGCAAGGGAGAAAAAUUUCAAGGCUUCCAAAGAUUCCCCACUGAGCAGAAAAGCAAUCAUUAGGAAUUAGAAAAGGGAGGAGGAAGAGGUAAAGUAGUUCAGGGGAAAGGGGAAUAAAUUUAAUGGCAAGUCAAUAGGUAUUGAUUUUUAUGUAAAUUUCAACACAGCAGAAUAGCACCUCAUCGGUCAGGAUCCAAAAUAAGGCUAAAAGGAGAUGAGGGGAUAUUAUCCACUAUUUGCUGUGUCUAGCGUCUUUCACCUCUUCUUGCGUGUCUCUUUGCCCUGCUACCUCUCCGGUCACUGACAGUUCUCAUUCACCAGCGCUCGUCCUUUCUCUGUCUCAUUCUCUUUUUCUCUCAUUCUCUCCCUCCCCUCUCAAUCCCCUUUGUAUUACUGCCAAGCAGUCAAAUGGAUGUUGGCAUAUUUUAAAGCCCUGUUGUCCAACUCUCUCUCAUGCUCAGGCCAAGUCCGUGGCUCAGCAGAGUGCAACUUGGCAGCUGACGAGACGAGCACACUAAAGCAAUUAGCGCAGCCACCAACAGUCGCUUGGAGAACUGAACGUUCGUUCUGUUCACGAGUCAAAUAGAGUGUAUUAUUUAUAUCCAAAGGUCAGUACCCUCCCUGUCAGAGGAUUUCAGAUCUGUUUUUGUGGGACGUUUACACUGCGGGCAUGAAAAAAAAGAAAAAGGGAGAAGGAGUCUAAGCAAAAUGAUGUUAAAAGGGCAGAGCUGUGACAAUGCCACCUCCCCUGCACAUGCAGGCAAGCAAAGCAGAGGGCGAAGCUGGGCGGUGCUUAGAGAGAUCGGGAUUUUCGAAACCUUCUUGCUCUCGCUCUCUCACACACGUUCGUGCGGAGACAUAAAGCACACUGGAAGGUAUACCCGAGCAGAGAGGUCAGUGAAA